rnacentral:rRNA from 1 species
CCUACGGGAGGCAGCAGUGGGGAAUAUUGGACAAUGGGCGGAAGCCUGAUCCAGCAACGCCGCGUGAGGGAUGACGGCCUUCGGGUUGUAAACCUCUUUCAGUAUCGACGGAGCGCCCGUGUGGGUGGUGACGGUAGGUACAGAAGAAGCACCGGCCAACUACGUGCCAGCAGCCGCGGUAAUACGUAGGGUGCGAGCGUUGUCCGGAAUUAUUGGGCGUAAAGGGCUCGUAGGCGGUUUGUCGCGUCGGGAGUGAAAACACUGGGCUUAACCGGGUGCUUGCUUUCGAUACGGGCAGACUAGAGGUAUGCAGGGGAGAACGGAAUUCCUGGUGUAGUGGUGAAAUGCGCAGAUAUCAGGAGGAACACCGGUGGCGAAGGCGGUUCUCUGGGCAUUACCUGACGCUGAGGAGCGAAAGUGUGGGGAGCGAACAGGAUUAGAUACCCUGGUAGUCCACACCGUAAACGUUGGGCGCUAGGUGUGGGGCCUAUUCCAUGGUUCGUCGCGCAGCUACGCAUAGACGCCCGCCGUCGGGUAGGUACGGCCGGCGACGGACGUAAACCGUUAAAACGGUAAAGUUAGACGGUCGUGUAGACGUUGUCCGAACGGACGACGACGAGGGAGGUAGGG